GAGUUGGGAGUGGAUCGCUUUGUGCAGCUCAUUGAGAAUAUCUCCUUAAAUACCAAAGAUUUGCUGGAAACGAGCUUUUCGGACCUAAAAAAUAGACAAGAUGAUCAAGAGGAGAAGCUUGCCAGCAUAAUGCAGGAAGUCAAAAUACAAACCCAACAAUCGAUGGCAGCCAACAUGGCAGAGCUAGAAAAGAGACUUGAUAAUCAGGAUGUCCAGGUGGCCAGUUUAAUCGAUUCGCUAAGAAAAGAUUCCCAAAAAUACAUGGACGGUGGCUUUGAAGAAAUACG
rnacentral:sRNA from 1 species